rnacentral:lncRNA from 1 species
UGAGUUGGCUGUAUGGAUUUUUUUUUAAGUUUUAUUUUUAUUUUCAUUGACAAACCAAGCAAUAAAGAUUGGGUUGCCGGGCCCAGACUUCCCCACAGUACAGGUUGUUGUUUUGUUGGUUUUGUUUUGUUGUUUUUUUUUUUUUUUUUUUUUCCCUGAGAAUGGAAAAAAGCUUUCAAAGUAGAGAGUAUCACCUCCCCCUUGCUGCUCACCAUCACGAAACCCUGACUACAGAAGCGUCUCAUUCAUCCCCUGAAGAGUAAUCCCUUGAGAUCUCGGAAAUACUCCAUAACCUGAAAACACUCUUUGUUUUGAAGGAUAAGAAAUAAUGGACUGUUUCCACAGGGUCCACUUUCCAGUAUCAGACAGUUUUGAGCCGGAUUCUGAUUUGCUUUACACCACCGCUCCAAAUCAGACAGUUGUUAUCAGCAGGAUGAUUGAUGCCAGCGUGAAGCAAAGGACUGUGAUACAGAAGAGCUACUUCAAGGGAAUGUGACUGGCUAGACGGAAAGUGAGAGAGGAGAUUUUCCCCGAGAUCUUCAGACAUGUGGACCUCAAGGUACUAUUAAUUUUGUUUAAAGAGUGGGAUGAAGAAAGGGGUGGAGGACAUGUAAGUGAGAAGAUGUAAAAACAAAACAAGCC